UGCUAUGUAAAUGCAAAUUAAUUUGCCUGCCGUUGAUUAUUUAAAAAUGCCAUGGAUCACCUUGGGGGAGAGCUGACCAAGUAUACGUGACUUGUCCUAGCUUAGCUCCUUCGGCAGGCAUGAUGCUGUUACGCUGUGUUUGCAUUCUUGUGUGGUGCUCCUUGCCAGGCUCUGUGGCUGCCAUAAGUUUGACCCAGCCGAGUUCUGCACUUGCGAAGCCAGGCAGCUCCGUCACUCUGGACUGUGUCGCCUCUGGGUACGCGAUCAAUGACGACCACAUGCACUGGAGCCGCCAGACCCAGGGAAAAGGCCUGGUGUGGAUAGCCGCCUUCAAAACAGGGGACACCACUUACAUUUCUAAUGACUUCAAAGGCCGCGUCACCCCCUCCACCAGCGGCUCCACUGCCAGGCUAAGGAUAGACGGGCUCACAGCUGCAGACACGGCUACUUACUACUGUUCCAGACACAGUGAUCGCCGCCCAACUUCCUCUCUUACAAUAUCCCCCUGGAACUGGCCUCAGUCUCACUGAGCACAUCUCUCUCUGCAGGGAAUUCACCCCCGGGGCGGAAGGUGCAGCAAAAGCUCCGUGCACCACUGGAUUCCAAAUACAUCGUCCGUGGUUCCUGGCCGCCCUGCUGUUUUGGCACAGGGCUUCGUUUCAGGCUCAGGGACGGCAAUUUUCACCUCCAAUUUUUCCAACUGGUGCAAGCCUGGAGGCAGCGUGACCUCCUGGCUGAGUUGUUGCCUGGCAAAUCAGGACACUUGGUUUCUGUUCCAGGCUCGUCCACUGAGCCAGAGUGUGUCCUUGAUCUCAGCUGCCUCAGUUUCCUUUCUCUGUCCUGUUUGUUUUGACUCCUCGAAGGCAGGACUGUCUGUUUGUACACACACAGAGGACUAGAGGCAGAU